AUCUAUUGCCUUCUUUAAAUUCCGAAAAACCAUUUCAGUCACUAUAUGUAUCAAUCAUUUUCUUCAGCCUUCCUUUGUUGCUCAGACUCUUGAAAUCUAAUCGAAGACAUCUAUACAUCUUGCUGUGUAAUUUCAGAAGAAGAUCAAGUCAUCAUCCUUCUUCUAAUCAUCAAUUCAUAUUAAAGGUGGUCAUCAGGCAAUUUGAUUCCAUGGUCAUCUCGGCGAAUUAUUUUGCUGUCUAAUCUGAUUGCAGCAUUUUAGUUGAUUAAUUGAAUAAAUAUUUUAUAUUCUUUUACUUAUUUCAUUUUAGUUGUUUGCUAAGCCUUCUGAUUAUUAAAAAAAUCAUAUCCAAAAAUAAAUAUACAAGGAAUUUUUCCA